UGAUUAUUAAAUUUUAACGAUUUUUAAGUAAGAUAAAUGCUUGUGUUGCUAACAUGUGACUUCAAAAAAAUUUUUCAAAAUGCAACGAAUGUUCCUGAUCUCAGUAUUACAUAGUACACAUAUAAAUAAUAAUAAGACAAGAUUCAGAAGCCAACUAGCUAGUUAUUCAAAAACACACAAUAUUAUAACAAUCGAUUGAUGUAUUGAUCAACUAUGAAGAUCUCAGUAGUAUAAAAUAUUUUUAUUAGUUAGGUAGGUAUUGGUGUAUGUUGUAUUAUACUAGGUACCUACCUACUAAUAAUGGUUAUAUUAUUAUAUAGGUUUUCGGUGGCUAGUCAAAUGGGGGAAUGAAGGGUUUGGAUAUUAAUAUUAUCAUCUUACAACGAACAAUUAUAUUUUUUAAUGAUCAAAUAAUGCAUGUUAACCUCCCCUCCACAAUCGUGACAAAAUCAUUUGAUCGCCACUGGGUACCUAUAUUGUAUAAUGCAUGCUAGAAAGCCUUGAAGGUUAAAAGGUAAAAAUUAUUUGAUGAAGUUGAAGAGUAAUAUUUUUUAAUCAUAUAAUAUUAUAUUAUACCUAAUGAUAUUAUAUUAUUACAUUUUUAAUAAUAUUAUUCAAUUACCUAUAUACCUAUGAUAAAAAGUAAAAACAGAUUCUGUCUUAAUGCUUAUAUAUACUAACUUAUAAAUAUCUUUGUGGUCAAUUAAAUUAAUAUUUGUCUAAUAUUGUCUUAAUAUUAAUUCAUUAACAUUCAUUAGUCAGUCCCAGAUUUACUCUAAUUACACAAAAUAAAAUAAAAUAAAUUUUAUUUUUAAAUAGCUAACCUACCUAUGUAGUUUAGAACAGACUCCAUUUAUGACUAUUAAAUUAUAUUUACUUAUUUUUUUAAUAAAAAAUUAAUUAUAUUAGGUACCUACUUUAGAAGAUUUUGUAUUUGCCAACUAUAGUUUUAUUAAUUAAUGCUAUUUUUUAAAACUAUACUAAAUUUAUAAUAUCAUUUAUUUUAUAUGUCUAUCUAAAUAAUAAUAUCUAUUCUGAAUAAUUGGCGUACAUAAUCAAUGUAUAUGUAUAAUAUUUCAGGAAUUUUCCCAAAGGGUACCUGCGUAUUUAUAUUUAACUUUUUCUAUAUGUUGCCUUGCUUUAUUUUAUACUCUUAAUAAUUUUGCUUCUGUUCAAAAAAAAAUUUAUAUCUUGAAAAAAUAAAAUGUUUAUAUAAACUGAAUGUUUUACAAUAAAUGCGUGAUAUACUAAGACUCUUGCUUA